UAUCUAAACACAUAAUUUUCACUCCAAUCAAACUUGUAGAUUGUAAGAAAUCUUAAAAACCCUCACUGGACCUAAAAUUCUACUUUUUGAGACCUUAACCUACUUAAACUUCAAUAAUCCUCAAUUCAACCAUUAGAUCUAGCUAAAAUUUACAGCACAUAUUAAGCACAACUAUAACCAUUAAUCCUCAAAAUUUCAUCCAUAGAUCUAUUACAAAACUCUUGAAAUCACUAAAAAAGUCAACCAUAUUUUAUUUCACAAAAUCCAAGUCAUUCAAAAACAAACUUGUUCUUAUAAAGCUUUGUCAAAUUCAUUAUGAAUCCAAAUUAUACAAAAAUAACAUUCAUAGAAACUCUAUCAUAUUUGCUUUCAAAUUCCACUCUUCAAUCUACUAAAAGACCCCCCCCAAAAGAACCCCUAAGUUACCGUAGAUGCUCAGGUUUGUGCCUUGGGGUCUAAUUUCGACCUAGGUUGAUAACUGGUCCUCCUCAUGUAUCAAAUUUUUUCUUUUUGAAUUAAUUUUUGAUAAAAUCAACUCCUAAAUUCCUUCUAUAAAUAUUCAUAUUUUUUAUUUUUCUAAUCUACUUUAUUUUGCUACAUUUAUGAUCCAACAAAAUAAGUAGAAUGCCAUUUUGAAAAAAGAAAUAUUGGUACUUUUUAGUUUUACUACCCUUUUAACUAUUAACUAUAUUUCUAAGAUAAUUUGUUCUAAUACUUUGAACUAAGAUCUCCUAUAUUAUAAUAAUUUUUACACUCUUUCACUUAUUAGUUGUGUUACAUUACAACACUACAUACUACUUCUGUCAAUUCUGUACAGUAAAGAGGCGGUGCCGUACCUCUUAUAAGGCCAUUAUAAGCUUUUGUAUAAAUUCCUCUGUUGUUGAGUUGUUGUAUCAAUGAGAUGAUAAAGAGUUGCUAGUGUAAUUGGAUGCUGAUUAGUAUUAAAGAAAAAAUGGUGAAUGAUGAAUACUUGCUUGAAUACUAUCAUUAUAA
rnacentral:lncRNA from 1 species